GAAUUCGCCCUUAGAGUUUGAUCCUGGCUCAGGACGAACGCUGGCGGCGCGCCUAACACAUGCAAGUCGAACGAGAGAGAGGGAGCUUGCUUCCUCAAUCGAGUGGCGAACGGGUGAGUAACGCGUGAGGAACCUGCCUCAAAGAGGGGGACAACAGUUGGAAACGACUGCUAAUACCGCAUAAGCCCACGACCCGGCAUCGGGAAGAGGGAAAAGGAGCAAUCCGCUUUGAGAUGGCCUCGCGUUCGAUUAGCUAGUUGGUGAGGUAACGGCCCACCAAGGCAACGAUCGGUAGCCGGACUGAGAGGUUGAACGGCCACAUUGGGACUGAGACACGGCCCAGACUCCUACGGGAGGCAGCAGUGGGGAAUAUUGCACAAUGGGGGAAACCCUGAUGCAGCGACGCCGCGUGGAGGAAGAAGGUCUUCGGAUUGUAAACUCCUGUUGUUGAGGAAGAUAAUGACGGUACUCAACAAGGAAGUGACGGCUAACUACGUGCCAGCAGCCGCGGUAAAACGUAGGUCACAAGCGUUGUCCGGAAUUACUGGGUGUAAAGGGAGCGCAGGCGGGAAGACAAGUUGGAAGUGAAAUCCAUGGGCUCAACCCAUGAACUGCUUUCAAAACUGUUUUUCUUGAGUAGUGCAGAGGUAGGCGGAAUUCCCGGUGUAGCGGUGGAAUGCGUAGAUAUCGGGAGGAACACCAGUGGCGAAGGCGGCCUACUGGGCACCAACUGACGCUGAGGCUCGAAAGUGUGGGUAGCAAACAGGAUUAGAUACCCUGGUAGUCCACACUGUAAACGAUGAUUAUUAGGGGGUGGAAGGAUUGACCCUUUCAGUGCCGCAGUUAACACAAUAAGUAAUCCACCUGGGGAGUACGACCGCAAGGUUGAAACUCAAAGGAAUUGACGGGGGGCCCGCACAAGCAGUGGAGUAUGUGGUUUAAUUCGACGCAACGCGAAGAACCUUACCAAGUCUUGACAUCCUGCGACGCACAUAGAAAUAUGUGUUUCCUUCGGGACGCAGAGACAGGUGGUGCAUGGUUGUCGUCAGCUCGUGUCGUGAGAUGUUGGGUUAAGUCCCGCAACGAGCGCAACCCUUAUGGUCAGUUACUACGCAAGAGGACUCUGGCCAGACUGCCGUUGACAAAACGGAGGAAGGUGGGGAUGACGUCAAAUCAUCAUGCCCUUUAUGACUUGGGCUACACACGUACUACAAUGGCGUUAAACAAAGAGAAGCAAGACCGCGAGGUGGAGCAAAACUCAGAAACAACGUCCCAGUUCGGACUGCAGGCUGCAACUCGCCUGCACGAAGUCGGAAUUGCUAGUAAUCGCAGAUCAGCAUGCUGCGGUGAAUACGUUCCCGGGCCUUGUACACACCGCCCGUCA
rnacentral:rRNA from 1 species